GCUGGUACGGUGAACAUGGCCGGCCGGCCGGCCAGCAUUGGAAGUGACGCCAAGCAUUUUUUUUAGUGAUUCGGUCGUUUUUGUGCGUAUGUGUGUUUUCUUUGCAAUAUUUAUUGUUAAAGAGAGAUAAUUGUUACUUUAACUAGAGGAUUUUGCUCAGCUUAUGGCAAGGCCAGUGCCUGAUGGUAGAAGAGUGAAGGGCUCAUAUUGCACAAUAGGAGACAAUGGCUACUUUAACCUAGAUGGGCUCAUAAAUUAUGAGACCAACCAAAACUCUUUAUUUUUAUUCUCGACACGUGUUUCGCUAACGAUGUUAACGUCUACCAGAGACAAUUAAAAACUAAAC